rnacentral:rRNA from 1 species
UACGUAGGGGCCUAGCGUUGUCCGGAAUCAUUGGGCGUAAAGAGCUCGUAGGCGGUUCGGCAAGUCACGUGUGAAAUCUCCACGCUUAACGUGGAGGCGCCACGUGAAACUGCCGUGACUCGAGUCCGGUAGGGGAGUGUGGAAUUCCCGGUGUAGCGGUGAAAUGCGCAGAUAUCGGGAGGAACACCAGUAGCGAAGGCGGCACUCUGGGCCGAUACUGACGCUGAGGAGCGAAAGCGUGGGGAGCGAACAGG